rnacentral:lncRNA from 1 species
GUGGGAGGUGCCGCUCCCGGGUCCAGCGGUCGCGCGCGCCCUGGAGUCCUGUCCUGGUUCUGGCGGCUGAGGGCCGGGUGGCGCAGGCGGCCUCCGGCUGUGCCCAUGGGAACUAAAACCUUCGGUUCUAGAAGAGCCGGGGGAGAGGCUCCGGGAAGACCGAAUUCUUCAGAAAUCGCAGAGAGACCUUGGACCGGAUCCUUCCCUGCAGGGCUGCGUCGGGGAAGCGCCGGCACAAGUAUAUUCAGCGACUUCCUUGGAAGCGCCUACGUUAGAAUACUACAAACUUACAAGCUAGUUGAUCAGUUUACCUCCCACUAGAAAAGACAGUAUGGGAAGGCAGAGGCCGCGUGGCCUGGACCCCCGUCUUUGCUGUCAGGCUUCCAGAGUGAAGGUGGGGCUCAUAUUCAGACUAGUUCCUGGUCCAUUCAUUCUUUCAGUCAGUCAGUCAGUCAUUCCUACAGGGCCAGAAACUUUUUUUUUUUUUGAGACAGAGUUUCGCUCUUGUUGCCCAGACUGCUCACCGCAACCUCCGUCUCCUGGGUUCAAGAGAUUCUCCUGCCUCAGCCUCCCGAGUAGCUGGGAUUACAGGCAUGUGCCAGCACACCUGGCUAAUUUUUGUAUUCUUAGUAGAGACGGAGUUUCUCCAUGUUGGCCAGGCUGGUCUCGAAUUCCCGACCUCAAGUGAUCUGCCCGCCUCGGCCUCCCGAAGUGCUGCAAUUACAGGCGUGAGCCACCGCGCCCGGCCCAGAAACAUGUUUUGAAGGGCAGGCACCGCACAGGGUGCUGGAGACAGACUGAAGGAAACUGCACCUCUCAGUGACUCAAGAGAGAUUUGUUGAGUAUCUACCAAGUGCCUAGCGCUGUUCUUGUCCCUGGGGAUUCAGCCUCUGGAUUGGGACCUGCAGCCCAGAGAAGGGAAAUGGGGGAAAUCCAAGUUCCCAGGUACAUCAUGAUACCCUUCCAGGUGGCCUCUCCUUCCUGGAAAUUGCCAUCACCAGCGGCCAUAGCACCCCCAUGGGACCUGGGGGAUGGAGUUGGAAGCCCCCUCCGGCAACACUGGCCAGAUUGGAGAGACCAGCAGGGAAGCUCCCUCCUACCCCCAGGGAGGCUGAAGCCAGCUCUCCAUGGGCACGAAACCUGGAACCCAGGACCCUGGGGGGCAGGUGAGAUGACAGGGACUUGGGGUCUGGGAGCAGAGUCACAGGGAAGAGUGGCAUCUAGGGGAGGCGCAUCUUGGGGGUGCAUCUAGGGGAGGUGCUAAGAAGUGACAGGGGUCUCUGGAGGUGCCCCAGUCCCUCUGCUGGGAUGCAGGGUGGCAGGGAGCUGAGAAGGUGCUCAGCCACCCUCUGGAAGCUUCUGACGUCCCAGCCUAAGCUCAGCCUGCAGGGCCCUGUGGCCUGAGCCAACCCCAGACCUGGGUUGGAUUUUUUCCUUGUUUCUUGCUUCCUUCCUCCCCUGGACUCCUGCCAACUCCAGCCCUGCCCUCCUCGCUCUUCACCCCACUUCAGAGAACUGUGACCCACUGGAGGCUGGGAUUUGAGAUGAGAGGUCACCCUCGGAGUUGGCUCCAGCUGCUGCCUCUGCCUGGGACCCCUCCUUGGGAGUUGGGUGGCAGGGCCUUGCUGGGGGCACUUCCCUUCGCAUCUGGAUUUUGGCCUCGGGCCCAGGGCUAUGGGGGUUUCCAGAGUGGUGACAGCCUUGUCCUAGCAGGGACCAGCCCAAGCACUUCCUCCCAGAGCCCUCUGGGAGCGUCCCAGCCCCAAGGCUGUCAUUUUGUCGUAGGGAGUAAAUUGUGGAGUCAGCAGAGGCUGUCUUCCACACUUUCUGUGC